GACGAACGCUGGCGGCGUGCUUAACACAUGCAAGUCGAACGGAAAGGCCCUGCUUUUGUGGGGUGCUCGAGUGGCGAACGGGUGAGUAACACGUGAGUAACCUGCCCUUGACUUUGGGAUAACUUCAGGAAACUGGGGCUAAUACCGGAUAGGAGCUCCUGCUGCAUGGUGGGGGUUGGAAAGUUUCGGCGGUUGGGGAUGGACUCGCGGCUUAUCAGCUUGUUGGUGGGGUAGUGGCUUACCAAGGCUUUGACGGGUAGCCGGCCUGAGAGGGUGACCGGCCACAUGGGGACUGAGAGACGGACCAGACUGCUACGGGAGGCAGCAGUGGGGAAUAUUGCACAAUGGGCGGAAGCCUGAUGCAGCAACGCCGCGUGCGGGAUGACGGCCUUCGGGUUGUAAACCGCUUUCGCCUGUGACGAAGCGUGAGUGACGGUAAUGGGUAAAGAAGCACCGGCUAACUACGUG
rnacentral:rRNA from 1 species